GAUGAACGCUGACAGAAUGCUUAACACAUGCAAGUCAACUGUGGCGGACGGGUGAGUAACGCGUAAAGAACUUUCCUCACAGAUAGGGACAACAUUUGGAAACGAAUGCUAAUACCUGAUACUGUGAGAGAGCUUUGCGUCCCAUUAGCUAGUUGGAGAGGUAACGGCUCACCAAGGCGAAGAUGGGUAGCCGGCCUGAGAGGGUGAUCGGCCACAAGGUGACUGAGACGAGGCCCGUAGUGAAACGGGAGGAAGCGGGGGGAAAUAAUGGACAAGAGACCAAAGUAUGAACAAGCAAUUCUGUGUGCAGGAUAAUGUUGUCGGAAGGUAAAGUGCUUUCAGUUGAGAAGCGGUACCGACAGAAGAAGUGACGGCUAAAUACGUGCCAGCAGCCGCGGUAAUUC
rnacentral:rRNA from 1 species